CGCCUUUAUGUGUUGCCCAUUCAUUGCUUUCUCUGGUGAAUGUGGUGUCAACAAAGGCAUAAAGCAAUUUUUGGAGUUUUUGUGAGCCAGUU
rnacentral:snoRNA from 14 species